UCGGCUAGCCCAGUGGCCCGCGCCGAUGGCGGCCGCCUCCUUCCUCCCGCGGACGCUGCUGCUCCUUAUGUCUUCACUCGGCGCGGAAAACGCGGGGAGCUAGGUGUGGGCUCACCUCAGAACUCAGCACCAACUUACCUGUGCUCCUAAAACUUGGACCCACUCUCAGCCUGAUACAGCCUACAAUCCCCCCUUCACCAUCACUCUGAAAAGUAGGCUGACCUUCACAUAAACCACCCUGAGUUUAUGUGAUCAACUGCCACCUCCACCCAUCCAUCCCCCUGGCCCUAUGCCCAGUUCUGUGUAGUCUUUGUUCUCCUUCCUGUAAAAGAAGGGCCCUUUUCUGUCUAACCCUGGAGGUAGUUGCAGGCCUCUGUGCCCGUCAGCGGGCAUAGCAUUUCCUGAUAGAGAUGGUUGUCGCCUCAGCUACCACACCCCAUUGCGGUAGUUUCUUUUCCUCUUAAUAACCCUUUCCAAUAAAGACUCUCUUUAUCUAAA